rnacentral:rRNA from 1 species
CCUACGGGUGGCAGCAGUCGAGAAUCAUUCACAAUGGAGGAAACCCUGAUGGUGCGACGCCGCGUGGGUGAAUGAAGGUCUUCGGAUGGUAAACCCCUGUCAUGUGGGAGCAAAUUAAGAAGAUAGUACCACAAGAGUAAGAGACGGCUAACUCUGUGCCAGCAGCCGCGGUAAUACGGAGGUCUCAAGCGUUGUUCGGAAUCACUGGGGGUAAAGCGGGUGUAGGCUGUUUCGUAAGUCGUGUGUGAAAGGCGCGGGCUCAACCCGCGGACGGCACAUGAGACUGGGAGAGUAGAGUAAUGGAGGGGGAACCGGAAUUCUCGGUGUAGCAGUGAAAUGCGUAGAGAUCGAGAGGAACACUCGUGGCGAAGGCGGGUUCCUGGACAUUAACUGACGCUGAGGCACGAAGGCCAGGGGAGCGAAAGGGAUUAGAUACCCGGGUAGUC